GAUGAACGCUGGCGGCGUGCCUAAUACAUGCGAGUCGAGCGAACGGACGAGAAGCUUGCUUUUCUGAUGUUAGCGGCGGACGGGUGAGUAACACGUGGAUAACCUACCUAUAAGACUGGGAUAACUUCGGGAAACCGGAGCUAAUACCGGAUAAUAUUUUGAACCGCAUGGUUCAAAAGUGAAAGACGGUCUUGCUGUCACUUAUAGAUGGAUCCGCGCUGCAUUAGCUAGUUGGUAAGGUAACGGCUUACCAAGGCAACGAUGCAUAGCCGACCUGAGAGGGUGAUCGGCCACACUGGAACUGAGACACGGUCCAGACUCCUACGGGAGGCAGCAGUAGGGAAUCUUCCGCAAUGGGCGAAGGCCUGACGGAGCAACGCCGCGUGAGUGAUGAAGGUCUUCGGAUCGUAAAACUCUGUUAUUAGGGAAGAACAUAUGUGUAAGUAACUGUGCACAUCUUGACGGUACCUAAUCAGAAAGCCACGGCUAACUACGUG
rnacentral:rRNA from 1 species